rnacentral:tRNA from 1 species
UGCAUCUGCCGGGAAUCGAACCCGGGCCGCCCACGUGGCAGGCGAGCAUUCUACCACUGAACCACAGAUGG